rnacentral:rRNA from 1 species
CCUACGGGUGGCAGCAGUGAGGAAUAUUGGUCAAUGGACGAGAGUCUGAACCAGCCAAGUAGCGUGAAGGAUGACUGCCCUAUGGGUUGUAAACUUCUUUUAUAUGGGAAUAAAAUGUUCCAAGUGUGGGAUUUUGUAUGUACCAUAUGAAUAAGGAUCGGCUAACUCCGUGCCAGCAGCCGCGGUAAUACGGAGGAUACGAGUGUUAUCCGGAUUUAUUGGGUUUAAAGGGAGCGUAGGUGGAUUGUUAAGUCAGUUGUGAAAGUUUGCGGCUCAACCGGAAAAUUGCAGUUGAAACUGGCAGUCUUGAGUACAGUAGAGGUGGGCGGAAUUCGUGGUGUAGCGGUGAAAUGCUUAGAUAUAACGAAGAACUCCGAUUGCGAAGGCAGUUCACUGGACUGCAACUGACACUGAGGCUCGAAAGUGUGGGUAUCAAACAGGAUUAGAUACCCCAGUAGUC